rnacentral:rRNA from 1 species
UCGAUUUAAUUUGAAUAAAAAAAUUUAUUUUAAUAUUAAUUUUUUUUUUACCUUUUUAUUAAAAAUAUUUUUAUAUUUUUUUAUAGUUAUAGAUAAAAUAUAAUUUAUUAUAGAUUAUUAGUAUAGUGAUAGAAUUAUUAAAAUAUUUGAAAAAAUAAAAUAUUAAAAAGAAAAUUUUAUUUAUUGUACCUUGUGUAUCAGGGUUUAUUAAAUAAUAAUUAUUUUAUUUAAUUUUCUCGAAUUUAAAAGAGCUAAUUAACUAUAAAUUUUAUUGUGAAAUAAAUAUUUAAAAUAGUUAAUUAGAAAUGAAACGUUAGUCGUUUUUAAAUAUAUCUAGUUUUUUAAGAAAUAAAUUUAAUUUAGUUAUUUAUUGGUUAUAAAAAUAAUUAUUUAUUUUUAUUGAAUAAGUAAUUAAUAUUUUAAGGGAUAAGCUUUAAAAUAAAGUAUUAAUAAAUAAAUUUUUGGUUAAUCUAAAAUUUAUAGAAGUGAAAGUAUUUUUUUAUAAUAGUGUUUUAUAACAAAUUUUAGGGUUAUAAUAUAAUUUAUAUAUUAUUUUUAAUAUUUUAUUAAAAUAAUUAAUUUAAUUAUAAAAUUAAUGAAAUAAUGAUAAAAUUAGUAUAAUUUAUUGUAUAAGAUUUUUAUAAAAUUGAGGUUAAAUUAAGGAAUUCGGCAAUUUUUUUUUCCGCCUGUUUAUUAAAAACAUGUCUUUUUGAUUAUAAUUUAAAGUCUGACCUGCCCUAUGAUAUUAUAUAUUAAAUGGCCGCGAUAUUUUGAUCGUGCAAAGGUAGCAUAAUCAUUAGUUUCUUAAUUAGGAACUGGAAUGAAAGGUCGAACGAGAAAAAUACUGUCUCAAUUUAAUUUUAUUAGAAUUUUAUUUUUAAGUCAAAAAGCUUAAAUAAAUUUAAAAGACGAGAAGACCCUAUAGAGUUUUAUAUUUAAAUAUUAUAAGUAAAAAUUUAAGAAUUAUAUAUGUAUUAUAAUAUUAAAGUAUUUAGUUGGGGUGACUAAAAAAUUAAAUAAACUUUUUUUUAAUUUUUAAACAUUGAUAUAUGAAUAAUUGAUCCAUAUUUUAUGAUUAAAAGAUUAAAUUACCUUAGGGAUAACAGCGUAAUUUUCUUUAAGAGUUCUUAUCGAAAAGAAAGUUUGCGACCUCGAUGUUGGAUUAAAAUAAAUUUUUGGUGUAGGUGCUAAAAAAAUUAGGUCUGUUCGACCUUUAAAAUUUUACAUGAUCUGAGUUUAAACCGGUGUAAGCCAGGUUGGUUUCUAUCUUUAAAAAUACAAAAUAUUUUAGUACGAAAGGAUUAAAUAUUUUUAAUAAUUAGUUAUUUUAGAUUAUUACUAAAGUGUAUAUUACUUUGGCAGAAUAGUGCCUU